GAUGAACGCUGGCGGCGUGCCUAAUACAUGCAAGUCGAGCGAAAAGACGAGGAGCUUGCUCCUCUGACGUUAGCGGCGGACGGGUGAGUAACACGUGGAUAACCUACCUAUAAGACUGGGAUAACUUCGGGAAACCGGAGCUACUACUGGAUAAUAUAUUGAACCGCCUGGUUCAAUAGUGAAAGACGGUUUUGCUGUCACUUAUAGAUGGAUCCGUGCUGCAUUAGCUAGUUGGUAAGGUAACGGCUUACCAAGGCGACGAUGCGUAGCCGACCUGCGAGGGGGAUCGGCCACACGGGAACGGAGACACGGUCCAUGCUCCUACGGUAGGCAGCAGUAGGGAAUCUUCCGCAAUGGGCGAAAGCCUGACGGAGCAACGCCGCGUGAGUGAUGAAGGUCUUCGGAUCGUAAAACUCUGUUAUGGGGUAAGAACAAAUGUGGAAGUAACUAUGGACGUCUUGACGGUACCUAAACAGAAAGCCACGGCUAACUACGUG
rnacentral:rRNA from 1 species